GCCAUUCGGGCAACAAUCGUAUUAUUUCCUCUGCUAGGAAUUACAAAUCUGUUAUUUUUCGCUGAACCAGGUAUUGAGGGCACAUGGAAAUCAGUCUACCAUAUCGCAAAUGCAGUCCUUCAGUCAUCUCAGGGGAUCUUCGUUGCCCUUCUGUAUUGUUUCUUUAAUGGUGAGGUACAGUCUGUGAUCACGAAAAAAUGGCGAAGGUUUAUGAUCAGUCGAAGUAUGAAACACAGCAUGCGCCGUAGAAGCUCUCGUACAUCAUCUCUCUUUUUGUCACAAUCAGAUGUCGUCGCCAUGAUGUCUAUUCGAAGUCGAAUAAGGAAUCAGAAACAAUUUAAAAAACAGAACAGUCGUUUACAUGUUUAUUCUUCAGGAAGUGCAAGCAUGGCAGAGCAAUCAAAUGGAAAAACUACUAUAAGUAGCUUACCAAACUGCAAAGAAGGAGGAGACGAACUACAAGAUAGGACGAACCAAUUUUUAUGAACCUCAUUCUGUUUCUGAUUCUGAAUAAUUGAAAUAAGCUGGAAUCUAACUAUCUCCUGCAUUCUCCGGGAUUUUGAAACAUUAUAUUUUCCCAUUCUAUAACAUUUAAAGUUUUCUUUGUCAUUUACUUCUGUUAUAAUUGUAAUAAUACUAAGUCAAUAUGAAUAAGAUAAAAUUGCAAUAUAAAAAGUGCGUACGACGGUAGGAGUUAAGUAAACAUAUUACUUCAGCAUGCAGAAAACUAAGUAAGUGAAAGGCCUGUCUUUAAGUAGUGAUAUCUGUCGGCAAUAUGUCUGCAUUUGUGAUGUCUUUAAAUAUGCAUUGGUCCAUAAACAGAUACAAGCAACCAAGCGUUCACAGACACAUACAUACGCACACACAAUCAAACACACGCACCCAUACACACACACACACACACACACACACACACACACACACAUGGACACACACGUACACACACUAGUAUGCACUUACACACAGUGUUUUAAUGGCGCGCAAAAACACUACGAAAUGUUACUCAAACGUUCAGAGAUAUCUUUAUCAGGAAGGUUGUUUAUUUACGUGUAUAUAUUCUCAUAUAUCUAUGGUUGUUUAAGGUGGGUUUAUGCUUAAUGAAAGGAAAUUGAUUCCAGACAUCUGCAACAUGCACAGGAUAUCCAUUUGAAUCUGUUUGGGUCCCACAAUCAUUUCUGCUCUAUAAAGAUAUAUAUAUAUAUAUAUAUAUAUAUAUAUAGAUAGAUAGAUAGAUAUAAGUUGGACAAACAUGCACGUACCGAUAUUAAAUGUAAAUCUACAAACGCAUUUGUAAUGUAUUUCCAAACAAAGGCAGAAUUUCCCCUUUGUUUUUGCCUGGGGCGCUAAUAUAUACAUAUAUAUUC